ensembl:lincRNA
UCGCUUUGUUGUCGGUUCUUAUACUGUAUGUGUAAUCAAAUGUGGCCGUCCUUGGGAUUUACAGCAAUUAACGAAUUACGGGAGUGCGCACGAGGCAGCAAGCUCUCAGCAGCCGGGCUGGGCUGCGGCUCCGGCUCGGCCUAGGGCUGGGCACUCUGAGGCCGAAGCCCGACUCGCAGGUGUCUCUAGAGGUUUGGGCCCCGGCGGCCCCACGAGUCCCGGAGCGGCCCCGGGCCCGCCCUGCUCUUCCCGGGCCCUCCGCAGCAGCUCCAGUCUGAGGAAACCCGCUGGCUGUCGCGUUCCCAGGAGUCACGACUUUCUGGGGGCCGGGCUGGGGGGGGAGGAGGAAUUCUGCCCAGACUCUGCAGCAGUUGGUAGCAGGCAAGCUUUCUCCUGGGUGUCGCCUGGAAAGUUGCAAAAUUGCUCUUCACCUGUAAGAACAUGCUCUUUAUCUUCCAGUCUCUUCUUGUCAAUUUGGAAAUUGCAGACAGCCUGGCUCAGGGAAGAUGAAAAGCUUCAGAAACUAAAAUCUCCUCUAUUCCUGGGCAAUGUCCUUAAACAAGAAGUAAUCAAAAGAGGAUAAAAAUAUUAAACCAUCAUCAUAGAAAAUGUUUAUCAACCCAAGUAGGAGAUUUCAAGGGACUAAAUGGUGAUUUCAGUUAUUAGGCGUCUCAAGAAGACAAGACAGAGUUUAUCUCCAGAAUUCGAAGACCUUUUGUUUUCCUUUCUGUUUUAAAAAUGGAAUCUGACUGUAUUGCCCAGGCUUUUUCCUUUCUGUUUUAAAAAUGGAAUCUGACUGUAUUGCCCAGGCUGGUCUCAAACUCCUGGGCUCAAGUGAUCCUUCUGCCACAGCCUCCUAAAUUGCUAGGACUAUAUAUAAUUGCAGGCUGAAAGCUAUGGACUCUGAAGAUUCUCAACAGACAGGUGAAACUGGUGGUCUUACUAUACAGUAGGGCAGAAAAAUAGGAUCUGCAGGUUGGAAGGCCAGACUCAGAUAUCACAUAGGAAGAAGGUUCAUGAACAAGAAGCUCCGCUCUCUACAUUCCAGGUAUUCGGAGCACACAGCAAUAAAGAAGGGAAUAUGUAGAAAAGAGAUUGGCAGAAUUUUUCUGAAAUUCAUUCCCUAAUUUAUUACUUUUCCAUCUAAUGGAAAGUCUUACUGAGAAUGAGGUUUAUAUCAAAUUCCUAUUUCUCUUUUCUUUCUUUGAAUGUUUCCAGUUUAAUUCAGAUGCAUGCACUAUCAAACAUCUGUUUUAAUUACAGCCAUUGUUAAGGUAGUUAAUCAGUUGACGUCUCCCACAAGCCAAAAUCCUAUAUUGCUGAAUUUUUGUACAAUCAAAGAUACAAUAAAUAUAAAAGGAAUUCUUGUAUAUCAGCACUAAAAGAAAUGCAUACAACUUCUUUGCUCACUGAUGCAACCAAAACACCCAGGAGUUAUUAUAAUGUGCAUUCCCUUGACACAGACCUUUAUUUCAUGCAAAUGACUGUGAUUAAGAUUCAAAUACAUUUUUUUUCAUUUUCACACAUUACUUAAUCAAUGUGAAGUACUGUGUAAAAAUUGCAUCUCUUCAUAACAGUGAUUUUGACCAAGUCAAGUGUUGCUCCUAGAAUUAUAAUCCAGACUUGUGAUUCAAUUAUCAUUUAGAGACUUUCUAAAUUCAAAUUAAGUUCACUCGUUUCUCCUCCUCCCAAUACUAUCAACUUAAUAUCAUAUUAUGGAUCAUUUGUAAGGUGUGAUCAAAAUAACUUUCCAUUGGAAGGAAAUACACAAUGUGAUGUGUGAUUUUUUACUUUCAAAAAAAGGACAGCAAUCAAUAGAAACUUGCCAUUAAAAUGUAUGAAAACGCACAAGGUACAGUCUCUUUUUUUUUCCCAUUUGUGUUAAACUUCGCUUUUAGAUUGAAUAAAAUCGACACUCCUCAGAAUGCUUAUCUCUUUAAACUUCCCUGGAACAGUUGUACAAAUCACCAUUUAAAAAGUUAGAAAAGAACUCACGGAAUGCUUAAAGUUUGGCUUCCCUGCUUGAUGAAUUACUAUUGGAUAUUCAAAAAGCACAUUCUCACAGGCAUCAACAAGGAAUACGGAAAAUGAAGUAGGAUUCCAGAGGCCAACUAGCCACUCUUAUGCAACUAGAAAACAUUGAUCUAUUUACAGUUUACUGCGCCCAAGCCAGAGCUGCAUCUUGUUUGGUUAUUGUCUGUGACACUUUCUUGCUCAUCUUGCAUUUUAUUUUUAUUUGAGGAAAAAUUAGAUUUUGCCAAUGACUGAGAAUGAGACUUUAGAGCUGGCAGGUUUGGGUGCUCAUAAUACAAGCUUCAUCCAUUUCUUAGAAUAUGUUCCACAGUUUGAAAUACUCUAGUAUCUGAGUCAAAAAUAAAUCGAAUUUUAAGUUGUUUUCCUUCUUUCAACACUCACACAAAAAUUCUUUUUUUGUGUCCAAGUGCAAUGAGCAGAGAAAAACACUCCUCUUUUUUUUUUUUUUCCUCUCUCUCUGGUUCCUAGAAUAUGAUGUUAUCUCUAUGCAGAGCUGGAUUUGUUGAAGCUGAAUCAUUUUUUUUUUUGAGAGACAUGAAGUUUGCAUUUGGUAGAGUUUGAUGGAUUCAAACAAUGUUUGAAUCUGGAUAUUCCUUUUUAGAAGUUGUUCCGUGUACAUUGUCCUGGGACGUCCUACCUCUCCUGCCAGGAGAGGUUGAAGGGGCAUUGGCAAUCAGCUGAUACGAGGGUUCCGAUUCAUAGAUACCCCAGCCAAUUAGAGGCAAAGGUCUUGGUCUGAAUUUAUUACUAGACUAGGAAACAUCUGUGAGAUGAGGUGGUUCUGCAGGAGAAUUAUUAACCACUGUAUAUUUCCCUGAGAAGCCAAGACAUUAUUCCACAGGAAUAAGAGCAGCCGAGAGUUGGGUCUUUCAAAGCCUGAAUGGAUCAUCUAAAGAUAUGGACUCAAGCUACUUACAGAGGACCAAAAGAACAAUUCCUUCUUAUCCUGAUCCCAUCCAAGGGAAGUUUAAGGGGGUUUCAGGAUAAAGUUUUAAGGAAAAAAAUAAGAUUGGAUCUGAGGCUAGUGGCUUGACCCCCAUAUCUAAUCUUCCCCAUCCCAAAGGAAUAGAAAUUUGGGGGAGUACAUGGCUACCCAGAAUAAUGGCUACAUGUCUCAGGUGACCUUGUUGAUGGCCAUGGACCCAUGACUAAGUUCUGGUCAAUGGACUAAAAGCAGAGUAGAAGUCCAAAAUUCCUUGGGCCUAUAUAUGGUUUGGAAUUCAGAUAUAUUUUUUUUUAAUUUUGAAGUUGUUAUGAUGGAUGUACUGUGUAUAUUAGAAUAUCUCCUUUGGAGUCUGGGGUGGCACCUCAUAACCAGCUGCUGAAAAGUGUAAUAAUAUUCACUCUAAGUGAGAUAAAUAAUGAUCCUAAAUGGUCUCAUGUCAAUUCAGGUUAGGUUUUUGCCUUCAAGUGAGUUUCUGUGAAAAAUAUAAAAAUAUUGGUUUUCAGAGCUUUUCAGAUUUCACAAUUAUGCAUUAUAUGGCUACUUCUAGAAAAAUGGGAUGCUUCCUUAGAUCACAAGGAUUGCAAUUAUAAAGACAAUCUAAAAUAAAGAACUGUUACUUUAAAAUGUGAACGCUAUUAUGUUUUAUUGCAUGCUUUAAGAUUAAACACUUACGUACAAUGUACUAUGUUAAGUACCUCGUUGAGUUUAUUAGUUCUGUUUUACAGAUGAGAAAACUGAGGUAUAGAAAGUUUAAAUAAAUUAGAUAAUGUCCAUAAUCAGAAAGCAGCAAAUCAAGGAUUUAAAACUAAGUCUGACAGCAGAGUCUCCAUGUUUGUCUAUGGUACUAUAUCUACCUAUGUCCAUGAGACAGUAGUUAAAAAGCAUGGACUCAUUGUAGACACUUGAUCCAGCUUCAAGUUUCUCUGUGAUCCUGGAAUUGCAUUUUUUUAAUAUUGGGGAUUGAACCCAGGAGCAUUUAACCACUAAGCCACAUCCCCAGUACUUUUUGGAUUUUUUUUUUUUUUUUGUAUUUUAUUUACAGACAGGAUCUUGGUAAGUUGCUGAUGCCUGCUGGCUGGAAUUGCAUUUUUAGUGACUUGUGAAGACAUUGUGUUUUUUUAUGGCCCCAUGUUAGUUUGACCUACAAUUAACCAGUUUUCUAACCAUGUGAACAAUGGACAACCCUAAAGGAAAAGAGUGAAGCUAGAAGUCAGUUGCUCUCAAUAAUCACACUAGCACAGCCAUUAUGACAUCAUCAUAAUAAAGCAUUGUUGUUAGAGCUGUUUGCAGCUGUCCUCCUCAUUGUUGUUGUUGUUGUUGUUGUUAUUUUUUGGGAUGGGGUCUUGCUACAUUGCCCAGGCUGGUCUUGAUCUCCUAGACGAGCCAUUCUCCUGCCCUCACCUCCCUAGUAGUUGAUUUUACUGUGCACCACUAUGCUCACCUUUUGAUAGCUUAACCUCCAAGUUAAAUUAAAAAUGAAUAUAAAUUAAAAAAAAAAAACAGUCUGGCAUCUGACAUCUUGGUUUCAUGUCUCAUACUUGUGUCUUAGUUGAGAUUUCACAUACUCAGUAAUUUGGUGAUUGGUAAAUUU